rnacentral:lncRNA from 1 species
UGCCGCCUGAUGGAUAGACGAGGGAGGAGUGUACUCUCUUCAGUGUGUUCUGACGGAGCCGAAGUACAGAAACCAUAUUUACAGGUACAUGUGACAGCGCUGCAGCUAUGAGUGGAAUUUUAAAGGGGAAGUUUGAAGAAGUCAACGGCUCCUCACCCUGCUCUUCAGUGCAGGAAUCAGAUGAUGAAGUUUUCAGCUGUGACAGUGCUGAGAGUGUUGAUAGUGUCAAUCGUUCACUUUUAAUGAUUUUACCAGAAAAAAUGAGGAAAUAUCAACAGACUGAAAAUAUGUUUUCAGAGGCAUAGAAUCUUCAGGAAAAUACUGGAGUUCCUGAGAUCUCAAGAUGAAGAGUCACUUAGCUUGCAGACUGCCAUCUCCCUAACAUAUCAGAACAAUGAACUUGGUUCCAAGACUAUAGAACUCAGUGACUGUAAAAUGGAUAAAUGUAUGAAUUAAUGCAUAAAUCAAUAGAUGAACCCAGAUGAAUAAUAUGCCAAAGUUGUUUCUGUAUGUCUCUGUGAUACAAAUAAAAGUAUGCUCAUUCUAUUAGCCAAGUAUUUGUGGAUUUGUGUUGGUGAAAUAAAAUACAGAAAACUAUUUUUCUUAUGUCUUGACCCCAAAAGCAGUGUCAUAACCCUUUUGCUUAUGGUGCAACCAAUAAUAGGACUGACGGUUUUUCCAUCAGUCCUAUUUUUUUUUUAAACCUGCUCCGUUCAUAUUUGACUUUAGCAUAUGCUAUUUUACUCCAUGUUUUAUUUUGUCACACUUUAGACAUCUAAUUCAGCAUAAGAAGAAAUCAUUACAGUCAACAUUUAUGGUCACUAAGAAAUAAACA